CGUCGUUCUGUUCAAACAAAAUUCGUAACCCUAAAAUCAUCUGGAUACAAAAAUCGUAAAACCCUAAAUUCGUCGUUCUGUUCAUACCUUUCCAGAUCCAAACUGAACCAGCGAAAUGUCUGCUGUGCAUCUCCGAACUAGCCAUCCGCGGAUCACUGAAAAGUACAGUCACAGCUGCUCGUUGUCUGUGUAGUAAGAUAGCGUACCUUUUUCUAUCUUCUCUACCACGAAUAACUGUAGAAGAACGAUGCAUCAACUAAAAUGUAAUCACCUGAUUGCAAUCAAUAAUUUGUUUUCGGAAUGAGAGUCAAAGGUAUACAUACAUGACUGAAGAGUGUGAAUUCCUCGUUUCAUCUCCCUGAGCAAAUGACGAGCUUUGUGACCUCUGAAACAGCUUUGAACUCGUAAUAUGCCAUUCAAAGUACGAUUUCUUGUAUCCUCAAGCUUUCCAAUCUGGCAAGAAAAAAUAGGCAUACAGUUCAAGUAAUAGAUAAUUGAAGGAAGGAAGAAGUGAAACCUGUUACCUGUCCAGUUCGAAAGAAGAGUUUUGUGUAGCCAACUUGAAACAUUUCAGGAAGAAUGCCGAAUUGAUUUAAAAUGGCAACUGAUACACUUAGUGGAUCUUGUGAUGCAACAUUAUCGAGUAGAAGAAAGCCAUACCUAGUAAAGAUAAACAAAAGGAAAAGGUUGUAUUUGAAUAAUAAAAAAAUGGAAGAAUUGAAUGUGAUUAGAAGUAUACCUUCUUGCGAAUUUUUGAUGCGUCAUUCUUGUUGGGAAUCCAGAUCUUGAUAUUCUAACAACUUCUAGAACACCACAGCAUUUUAGCUGUUGGAGAACAAGUUGCUGAUCAUAGAUUCCAGGAGAAUGUAAGUUGUUAGGCUUAAUGCAACGUAUGAAAUGAGAUCUUGUGUUCCCUAAACAUUGUAUUAACUGGAACAAUUGGCCUUUAAACUUUGACAUGACACUAAGCUUCUGGGAAUCAACUCCACCUGCUUUCUUUACUGAACCAAUCGAAGGACUUUCAGAUUGAAGAGAAAGCAUAUUCGAAGCAAAUAUCUGAGGAAGUUCACUUGUGCAAGAAGAUAGAAGUUGAAUGGAAUCAAUUCGCAAUAAAUCACGGUUUUUUUCAAGAAACCCGGUUGUGUCAUAUUUAACCUGUGAAACAACCAAAUUUUAAACAACAUGAAGUAUUAGAGAUAUUAGAUAGCAAAACAAUACUAAGUAUUAUAUUCAUAAGUCAUAACAUACUUCUCCAGCAUAAUGAUGAACUGUGAAUGCUUUGCCUCGUUCUCCUCUAAAACAUGGAUUAGAACUCAAGUGCUGCUUUAAUUUGUUGGCAAGUGACAAGUCUGUUGCUUUUGGGAACGUGGUUUCUUCAUCUAACAGACUUAGCAAUCCCAAUGGUUUCUGUAAAUACACCAAAAGGAAAUUUCAAUCAAGUGAAAAAGAAACAAUCAUGUAUAGCUAUCUAGAUUAAGUACAAUAACCCAUUAAGCCCAUUAAGUCAAAAAGCAAAAACAUCCCCUAAGAUAGAAAACAAGAAGUCUGGAUUGGAUACCUGUUCAAAAAGAUUCAGACAAGCUUGGUUGUCCUCAAAAUCCACCUUUGCCCAGUUGAUUCCAUCUUGGAUGUAUUCCUAAUAAAGAGACACCAGAUAGAUAGAAUAAUUAGAUAUGUAGAUUGUGAGAGCAUGCAGAUAGAUUGAUAUUAGAUUAGUUACCUCUUGUUGUAACUUGAAUAAAUGACGAUUGAAGUGUUGCUGUAAUCUCUCAUUUGCAUAAUUAAUGCAGAACUGUUCGAUACUAUUUA